GAUGAAGAACGCAGCGAAAUGCGAUAAGUAAUGUGAAUUGCAGAAUUCAGUGAAUCAUCGAAUCUUUGAACGCACAUUGCGCCCGUCAGUAUUCUGGCGGGCAUGCCUGUUCGAGCGUCAUUACGCCCCUCAAGUCCCCUGUGGACUUGGUGUUGGGGAUCGGCGAGGCUGGUUUUCCAGCACAGCCGUCCCUUAAAUUAAUUGGCGGUCUCGCCGUGGCCCUCCUCUGCGCAGUAGUAAAACACUCGUAACAGGAGCCCGGCGCGGUCCACUGCCGUAAAACCCCCCAACUUUUUAUAGUUGACCUCGAAUCAGGUAGGACUACCCGCUGAACUUAAGCAUAUCAAUAAGCGGAGGA
rnacentral:misc_RNA from 1 species